UACGGGGGGGGCAAGCGUUGUUCGGAAUUACUGGGCGUAAAGGGCUCGUAGGCGGCCAACUAAGUCAAACGUGAAAUCCCUCGGCUUAACCGGGGAACUGCGCUUGAUACUGGAUGGCUUGAGAUUGGGAGAGGGAUGCGGAAUUCCAGGUGUAGCGGUGAAAUGCGUAGAUAUUGGAAAGAACACCGAUGGCGAAGGCACUCUACUGGGCUAUUACUGACACUCAGAGACGAAAGCUAGGGGAGCAAAUGGG
rnacentral:rRNA from 1 species